AACGAACGCUGGCGGCAUGCCUAACACAUGCAAGUCGAACGAGACCUUCGGGUCUAGUGGCGCACGGGUGCGUAACGCGUGGGAAUCUGCCCUUAGGUUCGGAAUAACAGUUGGAAACGACUGCUAAUACCGGAUGAUGACGUAAGUCCAAAGAUUUAUCGCCCAGGGAUGAGCCCGCGUAGGAUUAGCUAGUUGGUGGGGUAAAGGCCUACCAAGGCGACGAUCCUUAGCUGGUCUGAGAGGAUGAUCAGCCACACUGGGACUGAGAUACGGCCCAGACUCCUACGGGAGGCAGCAGUGGGGAAUAUUGGACAAUGGGCGAAAGCCUGAUCCAGCAAUGCCGCGUGAGUGAUGAAGGCCUUAGGGUUGUAAAGCUCUUUUACCCGGGAUGAUAAUGACAGUACCGGGAGAAUAAGCCCCGGCUAACUCCGUG
rnacentral:rRNA from 1 species